GCCGAAGUGCUGAAAUUGGCAUACAGGGCAGACUUAAAAUCUGCUGAUCGCAAGGUCGUGAGGGUUCGAGUCCCUCCUUCGGCA
rfam:Candidatus Chisholmbacteria bacterium RIFCSPHIGHO2_01_FTLL_48_12 rifcsphigho2_01_scaffold_8479, whole genome shotgun sequence.